rnacentral:rRNA from 1 species
UACGUAGGGUGCAAGCGUUGUCCGGAAUUAUUGGGCGUAAAGAGCUCGUAGGCGGUCCGGCAAGUCGGGUGUGAAAGCCCUCGGCUUAACCGAGGAAGUGCAUUCGAAACUACCGGACUUGAAUACUGGAGAGGGUCGCGGAAUUCCCGGUGUAGAGGUGAAAUUCGUAGAUAUCGGGAGGAACACCAGUGGCGAAGGCGGCGACCUGGACAGAUAUUGACGCUGAGGUGCGAAAGCGUGGGGAGCAAACAGG